rnacentral:lncRNA from 10 species
GCUUAAAACAAUAACAUCAUUUAUUUUGCUCAGAAAUCUGCAGACUGGACAGGGCUCAGCAGGGAUAGGUUGUCUGUGCUCACUCAGCAUAAGCUGGGACAGCUUGCAGGCUGAGGCCUGAAGUCAUGUGAAGGCUCUCUCUCACGCAUCUGGUGGUUGAUGCUGGCUGAUGGCUGAGAUUCAAGCUGGCGUGCCUGCCAGAGCACUCACAGAUGCUUCUCCAUGUCACCUGGGCUUCCUUCCAACAUGGUGGCUGGUGUUCCAUAGAUAAGGCAACAGAGGCCAGAGGAGGUUCAGUGAUGCACCCAGGGCCACAUAACCAGUGAAUGUUGGGGAUCAGAUUAGAGUGCCCACGUCUCCAGCCUCCUUCUGCCAUUGACACCAUCACAUCGACCAUCCGGGCAAGACCCCCGCACCGCCCCCAAGGGCGCAGGCUUGAUUUCACUGCCAAGCCAAUAAUGUCAGCAACAGCACUUAUGGUGCUGGACCAUAAAUGAAACAAGCUUUGAGAACUAACUGCCACCCCAGAGGCCUCAGGGAGGAGGUGGCUGCCCUCAAAGGCUCAGUCUCGUAUUCUGUAACCUCUCUACCCUGAAGAAGAUCCCACCAGCUGCCUCUUCUUCCAGAUCCUGCCAAGAAUUAGGCAUCUCCCAACCCCACUCCUGGGCCUCUUCUCCACAUUCUCCCUGCCAAUCAUCCCCUUUAAUAAAAAACGGUGAAUAAUUUUCUAGCAUGCAUCUUUGGAUUGUUUACUGAUUACCAUAAACAUUAGCUGCUUUUGAAAUGCAUUUUUUCAGCUUACUGUAUUUUUUUUUGACUGAUUUUUUUUUUUUUUGAGAUGAAGUCUCACUCUGUCACCCAGGCUGGAGUACAGUGGCUUCAUGUCGGCUCACUGCAACCUCUGCCCGCCAGAUUCAAGC